CCCUGGUUAGCUCACUUGGUAGAGCGCUCCUUUUGAAAUGGAGAGGCCCCGGGUUCGAUACCCCGUCCAGGUG
rfam:Ixodes scapularis strain Wikel colony gcontig_1107728656018, whole genome shotgun sequence.